CUGGGCAAGUCACUUAACCCCAACUGUCAAAAAAAUAAAAUAAAAUAAAAAGAAUGGGAUUUAUUGAUUUAAGAGUUGACUUAGAUGAGUGUUUUAUUGUGUUAAUUUUUUUGUAGGGUACAGUCUCUGCCUCAGCUAGUGGGAAAAGAAGCUUAUGAUUUGAGGAUCCUUUUUACUCCUAUAGCUGGAAGACUUUAGAAUAUCACUGAUAGUAGAAGCAUAUCUAUGCUAGGAGAGAAGUAGAAAACUUGUUCUUUACCCUAAAGCAGGUAUUUUCUACUGUUGAAACUGCGUGUGGCCGCAAGCUUACUAUGUGUGUAUAUACUUUGAUGUAUAUGCUUAAAAAAUAAAGUUACUUGAAAACAUGUUUCAUAAUAAGUAUUAAGUUCCUAAAUCUUUUUCACCUAAACAUCUGUUACCAGCAGCAAAGUGGGCAAUAUCAGUGUUAUUGGUAAGAAGGCUGAAUGAUAUUUAUAACCUUUUAAGUUUAGUGUGAAAAGCUAUUAGGUUUAUCAUAGACUUUCUGAAUGUGCUUCUUCGGUGCCAGUUAUUGGAAGGCUUAGAGUUCUGACUUCCAAAGCAGUAGAAUUUUCAUCUGCUUUAUGCGAACAGGAUUGGUAAGCGGUUAUCCUUAUAAUUGACUGCUCUGAAAAUCCGGUCAAAAACUUCACAGAGUUCUUGGCUCCUGGUUGUGAUUGCCACACAUCCUGACUUCCACCCUAAUCCCACUUUCCACCAGCUUCUCUGCAUUCUAACACCAUAGCAAAAAAGACAAAAGAAAAAGAUCGUUUAAUAUUUAUG
rnacentral:lncRNA from 1 species